rnacentral:rRNA from 1 species
GAUGAACGCUGGCGGCGUGCCUAAUACAUGCAAGUCGAGCGAACAGAUGAGGAGCUUGCUCCUCUGACGUUAGCGGCGGACGGGUGAGUAACACGUGGAUAACCUACCUAUAAGACUGGGAUAAAUUCGGGAAACCGGAGCUAAUACCGGAUAAUAUAUUGAACCGCAUGGUUCAAUAGUGAAAGACGGUGUUGCUGUCACUUAUCGAUGGAUCCGCGCCGCAUUAGCUAGUUUGUAAGGUAACGGCUUACCAAGGCAACGAUGCGUAGCCGACCUGAGAGGGUGCUCGGCCACACUGGAACUGAGACACGGUCCAGACUCCUACGGGAGGCAGCAGUAGGGAAUCUUCCGCAAUGGGCGAAAGCCUGACGGAGCAACGCCGCGUGAGUGAUGAAGGUCUUCGGAUCGUAAAACUCUGUUAUUAGGGAAGAACAAAUGUGUAAGUAACUAUGCACGUCUUGACGGUACCUAAUCAGAAAGCCACGGCUAACUACGUG